GACGACACACACAAAGACCAACCAGUGUUCAGAGGCUGCUGCAGGCGGGGAGGACAGCGGGCGGCAGGCGAAGAGUCCGGCACUCCUGUGCGCCCGCAGGCUCUGCCGCCUCUCCCGCGGUCAGCAGCGCCGGGGUCUUGCUCAGCCCCGGGGGGAGCCAGACUGGACUCGGGGAAACUGAAGAGCCAAGCCUCGCGGAAACUGAGCACCCGAUUCGGGAACAGUCACGUAGAUCGAGCGUAAAAACAAUAAAGGUGUA
rnacentral:lncRNA from 1 species